rnacentral:rRNA from 1 species
AGAGAGAGACAUGCGCGCAUAUCAAUAAGCGGAGGAAAAGAAACUAACAAGGAUUCCCUUAGUAACGGCGAGUGAAGCGGGAAGAGCUCAAAUUUGAAAUCUUCAAGGUUUUACCUUGACGAAUUGUAGUUUAAAGAAGUGUUUUCUGCUGAAGUUUUGGUAAAAGUUCUUUGGAAUAGGACAUCAUAGAGGGUGAGAAUCCCGUAUUUGACCAUUAUUUCAGCUUUGUGAUACACUUUCAAAGAGUCGGAUUGUUUGGGAAUGCAGUCCAAAAUGGGUGGUAAAUUUCAUCUAAAGCUAAAUAUUGGCGAGAGACCGAUAGCGAACAAGUACCGUGAGGGAAAGAUGAAAAGAACUUUGAAAAGAGAGUUAAACAGUACGUGAAAUUGUCAAAAGGGAAGCGUUUGACACCAGUGUUGUCUUCUCGAAAAUCAAUUAAAAAUGGCUCGAUUUUGUAUUGUUGAGACCUUAAAAGCUCACUGUACAUUUUUCGUGUCUUUUUUAAUGCACUUUUCGUUUAACAAGUCAACAUCAGUUUCUUUUGUUGUAAAAGGGUCAUUGGAAGGUGGCUUUCUUUUCGGAGAAAGUGUUUAUAGCCUUUGGCCUCUGCAAUCGAAGAGACUGAGGUCUGCAGCGCAGACUCUUCGGGGUUAGAUACAUUUGUGCUAAGUUAUAGCUUUUUAUAGACAACUUGUUGACUAUAAUUAGUCUUGUAGCUUACUCGCUUAUGCUAUUUUACCUACGCUUAGGAUGUUGAAGAUGUAGCACAUCAU